UACGGGGGGGGCAAGCGUUGUUCGGAAUUACUGGGCGUAAAGGGUGCGUAGGCGGUCGGGUAAGUCUGACGUGAAAUCUCCAAGCUCAACUUGGAAAUGGCGUCGGAUACUAUUCGGCUCGAGGAAUGGAGGGGAGACUGGAAUUCUCGGUGUAGCAGUGAAAUGCGUAGAUAUCGAGAGGAACACCAGUGGCGAAGGCGAGUCUCUGGACAUUUCCUGACGCUGAGGCACGAAAGCCAGGGGAGCAAACGGG
rnacentral:rRNA from 1 species